rnacentral:rRNA from 1 species
UCCGGGAAACCGGGGCUAAUACCGGAUAACAUUUUGAACCGCAUGGUUCGAAAUUGAAAGGCGGCUUCGGCUGUCACUUAUGGAUGGACCCGCGUCGCAUUAGCUAGUUGGUGAGGUAACGGCUCACCAAGGCAACGAUGCGUAGCCGACCUGAGAGGGUGAUCGGCCACACUGGGACUGAGACACGGCCCAGACUCCUACGGGAGGCAGCAGUAGGGAAUCUUCCGCAAUGGACGAAAGUCUGACGGAGCAACGCCGCGUGAGUGAUGAAGGCUUUCGGGUCGUAAAACUCUGUUGUUAGGGAAGAACAAGUGCUAGUUGAAUAAGCUGGCACCUUGACGGUACCUAACCAGAAAGCCACGGCUAACUACGUGCCAGCAGCCGCGGUAAUACGUAGGUGGCAAGCGUUAUCCGGAAUUAUUGGGCGUAAAGCGCGCGCAGGUGGUUUCUUAAGUCUGAUGUGAAAGCCCACGGCUCAACCGUGGAGGGUCAUUGGAAACUGGGAGACUUGAGUGCAGAAGAGGAAAGUGGAAUUCCAUGUGUAGCGGUGAAAUGCGUAGAGAUAUGGAGGAACAC